rnacentral:lncRNA from 1 species
AUCAUAAAUACAAGCACCACUUAUAUUGCUACUUUAAUUUCAUACAAUACUGAUAAGAAUACACCCUUUAAGUUAAUAAAUCUGAUAAUGACAUUUAAUAAUUUCACACUGGUAAUUAUGACACCCUCACUACACACACCACUCAUGACUAAAAUAUUUUUAAGCACACACUUUGAAAGCCAAGCAUUGCACACAACACUAAUUUUAACUUAAAGACUUUUCACAACAACUUAUGAUGACAGAUUCAAUCGGUCCACUAAAAAUGGUGAUACGCCUUAUUGACACCCUACUGAAAAUAACACCUUCAAUUUAUUAGCCAAAUAUGGUAAUACACGUGUUUCACACACCACUUAUUAUGACAACCUUAAUUCAACCACAACUCAUAUUGACUCCUUCAAUUCAUUUACCAGUAAUGUUUAAAAACUAGUUCACAAAACACUGAUGGUGACACCCUUAAUUUAAACACCACUGAUAAUGACGUCUUCAAUUCAUCAUCCAUAGUAGUGUUAUUUAUAAUGAGUGUCUAACUUAAACAUGUUAAACUAUACUUAAUUGUGUAUCACAUAUACAUUUCGACACAAAAAAAGAUCAGAAGAUAAAUUAAUAAAGUUUGAAUACUCACCAAAUAUAAUUACAUAAGUUAAAUCCUGUGGAUAACAUCAUUAUAUUUAGACGACACACAUCUCAGCUAUAUCCGAGAACGCACAUGUUUUGAGACACAAUACUAUGCCCAUUAUUAAUGGCAACACAGAUUAUACCGAUAACGGAGUAAAUUCUGAAAAACUUAACUAUAAAAAAA